rfam:TPA: Bos taurus chromosome 13, whole genome shotgun sequence.
UCCCUGGUGGCUCAGAGGGUAAAGCAUCUGCCUGCAAUGCAGGAGAUGUGGGUUCAAUUCCUGGGUCGGGAA